rnacentral:rRNA from 1 species
GACAGAGGGUGCAAACGUUGUUCGGAAUUACUGGGCGUAAAGGGCGCGUAGGCGGCCCGCUAAGUCGAACGUGAAAGCCCCUGGCUCAACUGGGGAAGUGCACCCGAAACUGAAUGGCUUGAGUGCGAAAGAGGGUCGCGGAAUUCCCGGUGUAGAGGUGAAAUUCGUAGAUAUCGGGAGGAACACCGGUGGCGAAGGCGGCGACCUGGGUCGACACUGACGCUGAGGCGCGAAAGCGUGGGGAGCAAACAGG